rfam:Brassica oleracea var. oleracea cultivar TO1000 chromosome C8, whole genome shotgun sequence
GGAAGUUAAGAAAUAGUUUCUUAACUUUUAAAUAAAAAAAUUAAGAACCGGUUCUUAAAUAAGGAUUUUAAGAAUCGGUUCUUAACUUUUUUAGUUAAAAGUUAAGAACCGAUUCUUAACUUCC